rnacentral:tRNA from 1 species
UCGGAUAUGGUGUAACGGCUAACAUUGCCGCCUCUCAACAGAGCAGACGCGGCAGCUCGGGGUUCGAUUCCCCGUAUCCGAA